rnacentral:rRNA from 1 species
UACAGAGGGGGCAAGCGUUGUUCGGAAUUACUGGGCGUAAAGGGCGCGUAGGCGGCCUGCUAAGUCGAACGUGAAAUCCCCGGGCUCAACCCGGGAACUGCGUCCGAUACUGGCAGGCUUGAAUCCGGGAGAGGGAUGCGGAAUUCCAGGUGUAGCGGUGAAAUGCGUAGAUAUUAGGAAGAACACCAGUGGCGAAGGCGGCUCACUGGCCCGGUACUGACGCUGAGGCGCGAAAGCGUGGGGAGCAAACAGGG